AAUGAAGCCGGGAAACCGGUCCUUCUAACCCUUGAUUAUCAUAAUUUGUUGCUUUGGUAGGCCGCGCAAGCACCGGCUCCGGCUGGUUAGUGCCUACCAGAGAACCACAACUCUUGUUUUUAGUGAUGUCUGAGUACUAUAUAAUAGUUAAAACUUUCAACAACGGAUCUCUUGGUUCU
rnacentral:misc_RNA from 1 species